rnacentral:rRNA from 1 species
GACGAACGCUGGCGGUGUGCCUAAUACAUGCAAGUUGAGCGCUGAAGGUUGGUACUUGUACCAACUGGAUGAGCAGCGAACGGGUGAGUAACGCGUGGGGAAUCUGCCUUUGAGCGGGGGACAACAUUGGAAACGAAUGCUAAUACCGCAUAAAAACUUUAAACACAAGUUUUAAGUUUGAAAGAUGCAAUUGCAUCACUCAAAGAUGAUCCCGCGUUGUAUUAGCUAGUUGGUGAGGUAAAGGCUCACCAAGGCGAUGAUACAUAGCCGACCUGAGAGGGUGAUCGGCCACAUUGGGACUGAGACACGGCCCAAACUCCUACGGGAGGCAGCGGUAGGGAAUCUUCGGCAAUGGACGAAAGUCUGACCGAGCAACGCCGCGUGAGUGAAGAAGGUUUUCGGAUCGUAAAACUCUGUUGGUAGAGAAGAACGUUGGUGAGAGUGGAAAGCUCAUCAAGUGACGGUAACUACCCAGAAAGGGACGGCUAACUACGUG